AUAAAAGCAAAUUCCGCCGCCUUUUUUCUUGCCGGAAAGCUCCGCGUCGCGGUCCGCUCGGUGGAGAUGAAAGCCGUGCAGGUGGAGCGAGCUGUCCGGGACGGAAUCGGUGAGCCAGGUCUCAGUGAAGCACAGUACAGCAGAGAGAGAAAAGUCCUUGUUGGUACGGUUUAACAGUGAAAGUUCGUCCAUUUUAUUUCCUAAAGAGCGAAGGUUUGUCAUGUGGAUGCUGGGUAGCGGUGUACGAAGUCCGCGCUGUCGGAGUUUGACGAGCGCUCCGGCGCGCUUCCCACGUCUGCGCAUCCGCCUGCGUCUGCUCAGGAGCGCAGCCGCUCCGCUGACCAAAAUGUCCAAAAAAACUGUCCGAAAAUGAAAAAUCAGGAAAUAUACCUGGUGGCAUGAGCUGCCUAAUGUUCAGCAGAUCUUCUGCGCUGUAUUGGAGUGUGUUUGGAUCACACAUGCCAUAACAAACAAACAAAAACAAACAAAGCACUACGGAGCUCCUAACCAGUGUCGCCAUCUUGUACACAGCAUGAGGAAACAAACUGGUUUCACCAAAGUUGCACGAGGGCCAGAAACUAAAUGGCUUCAUGAUUGACAAUACAUUUACAUCAAAGGCAGUGUACAUUAGACAAUGACACAUUUACGUUUGUCACCACAGAUUUAGAGGACAGUGGUGUGGAGGUUGACACGACAACAGCAUCUAGUGACCACAGAAGUACCACACCAGUCAUUGUAUGACUACAAGGACUAAGGAUACCUUAAUCCACCUGAGUGACAGAUUAUUUGCUGUUGAGACUGUUCUGAAAUAUUUGGUUUCUGCAUGCAACAAUAAAUAAGAAACAUUUGUUUGCUUGGGACAAGAUCUUUGUUAACCAGUAUAAUAGUGAUUUCCUGACCUGUCCAUAACUUGAUAAUAAAUAUCUAAAUAUUA